UACGGAGGGUGCAAGCAUUAAUCGGAUUUAUUGGGCGUAAAGGGCGCGUAGGCGGGCAAAUAAGUCAGAUGUGAAAUCCCGGGGCUCAACCCCGGAACAGCAUUUGAAACUAUAUGUCUUGAGGGUAGGCGGAGAAAAUGGAAUUCCACAAGUAGCGGUGAAAUGCGUAGAUAUGUGGAAGAACGCCAGUGGCGAAGGCGGUUUUCUAGCUUACUCCUGACGCUGAGGCGCGAAAGCAAGGGGAU
rnacentral:rRNA from 1 species